GCCUGGUGAUCUGGGGAAGGUCAGGCUUCUCUUUUCUCCCCAUUUGGGCUCGGCAGGCGGAUUGUAGCUGGGUGGUGUGGAGCCAAGAGAUUAGGCAGCCAUCACGCUCGGAGUCCAGGCCACGCCCCCCAGUAAUGAGUCUUAUACUCUACAUCUUAUUCAAAUUUGCUUGAAAAACUGAUAUUUGAAGGGCAGAUACACAAAUAGAUAGAAAAACCGGGAGUAAUUUGAUACAGUCAGACAGUCAUAGAUGCUACACGUUUUUACCAAACAACUAGUUUUACAAAUACUU